rnacentral:miRNA from 1 species
UGAGAUCAUUAUUCAAGCUCUUC